GAUGAACGCUGGCGGCGUGCCUAAUACAUGCGAGUCGAGCGAACAGAUGAGGAGCUUGCUCCUCUGACGUUAGCGGCGGACGGGUGAGUAACACGUGGAUAACCUACCUAUAAGACUGGGAUAACUUCGGGAAACCGGAGCUAAUACCGGAUAAUAUAUUGAACCGCAUGGUUCAAUAGUGAAAGACGGUUUUGCUGUCACUUAUAGAUGGAUCCGCGCCGCAUUAGCUAGUUGGUAAGGUAACGGCUUACCAAGGCAACGAUGCGUAGCCGACCUGAGAGGGUGAUCGGCCACACUGGAACUGAGACACGGUCCAGACUCCUACGGGAGGCAGCAGUAGGGAAUCUUCCGCAAUGGGCGAAAGCCUGCCGGAGCAACGCCGCGUGAGUGAUGAAGGUCUUCGGAUCGUAAAACUCUGUUAUUAGGGAAGAACAAAUGUGUAAGUAACUAUGCACGUCUUGACGGUACCUAAUCAGAAAGCCACGGCUAACUACGUG
rnacentral:rRNA from 1 species